UGGGGAAUAUUGGACAAUGGGCGAAAGCCUGAUCCAGCAACGCCGCGUGAGGGAUGACGGCCUUCGGGUUGUAAACCUCUUUCAGCAGGGACGAAGCGCAAGUGACGGUACCUGCAGAAGAAGCACCGGCCAACUACGUGCCAGCAGCCGCGGUAAUACGUAGGGUGCAAGCGUUGUCCGGAAUUAUUGGGCGUAAAGGGCUCGUAGGCGGUCCAUCGCGUCGGGAGUGAAAAGCUGGGGCUUAACCCCAGUCCUGCUUCCGAUACGGGUGGACUAGAGGUAGGUAGGGGAGAUCGGAAUUCCUGGUGUAGCGGUGAAAUGCGCAGAUAUCAGGAGGAACACCGGUGGCGAAGGCGGAUCUCUGGGCCUUACCUGACGCUGAGGAGCGAAAGCAUGGGGAGCAAACA
rnacentral:rRNA from 1 species